UGGUUAGGGUUAGCCCUACCUGUCGCUAAAUAGCUCAUCAUUAUUCAUGAACUCGCGUCUCUUUGAUUCAAAACACGUGCUGCGGAUUAGCAUGGCUAAUAGACGUGAUUAGAUCUGUAUCCACUUGCGAGUUAAUUUCAUAGUACUGCGGUAGUGAUGGCGUCGUACCCGCGCCCUAGCUCCCUGACAUCCCUCUCGGACAUGCGUUUUGGCCGGCGCAUGUCCGCCCCUGUCCCAGUGACAGCGCGGCGUUCAUCGCAGGCUUCCAUCCCUGGCUCGUCGGGUUGCCGGAGCAGCUCCUGCGACGACCCUCGGCCUCGCAGAUUGAGUCUGGCCGACGUUUCGGCCGCAUGGUCCAGUAGGAAGCUGUCCCUGGUGCAGUGCUCAACCAGCAGCGACAGUAUAGAGAUAGACACAUCCAGCGUGUCUUAUGACCUGCCAGCAGUUGGCGUCUCUUGCGCAGGGUCCUACCAACCAAUUCCUAGUGAUGCAGCCAUCAGACACAGCCCUGUGCUCCAUACCCACAUCACUGCCAACAGGCCUAUAUGGCGGGCGCUAAUACUUGGACAACUCAUGUCACUCAUGCUUUGUGUGAUGGCCGCCUGCAACCACUACCUGUCAACACAGUACCAGGUCAACCUGCCUGCAGGGCAAAACACCAUGCACUAUGUGCUCCAGUGCCUGCUGUUCACGACGUGGCUAUCAAGUCGACCGGGAGAUCAAGGCAUCGUUCAUGUGUUCAGGUGCAGAGGUUGGCGCUACCUACUCCUGGCUCUGCUCGAUGUGGAGGCCAGCUACUUGUUUGCCAGAGCCCACCAGUUCACCACGCUCACUAGUAUUCAGUUGCUGGACUGUGUAGCCAUCCCAGCUGUUCUGGCACUCACUUGCCUUCUACUGAAAGUGCACUACAAGCUUGUGCACAUCUUAGGUGUCAGCAUAUGUCUGAUGGGUGUAGGCUGCCUGGUGUGGGCUGACAUUGAUGACGGACGCACCCUGACAGGUGGGAGGAACCAGCUGCUUGGAGACAUGCUGUGUCUGGGUGGGGCACUGCUGUUUGCAGUGGUGUCAGUGGCACAGGAUCUGGUGGUGAAGACGCUGGACUGGGUGGAGUACCUCGGCAUGGUGGGGCUGUUUGGCAGCAUACUCAGCACUGUGCAGACGGCUGUGCUGGAAAGAGACACCAUCUUGUUGAUGCCAUGGGAUACCUGGCAGGUGGUAGCCCUGCUGCUGGGGUUUGGACUUGCCCAGUUCCUGUUCUGCAUUUCGGCACCAGCCAUGCUCCAUGACAGUGGCGCCACCGCACUGCAGCUGUCGCUGCUUACUGCAGACUUCUACUGGAUCAUGCUCAGCAUUAUACUUCUGCAUUACAAGCUCCAUGCAUUGUACUUUGUUUCGUUCGCGCUGACAGCGACAGGAAUCGUGGUCUAUGCAGUGAAGCGAACACCCAUCUUGUCCCAUUCCCAGCAGGCCACAACAUAUAGCGUCUUCUUGUUUCCGUCAUUUGAAGAAUCUCUGAACAAAGAGCCAUGUCAAGAGACAACACCACUGCAGACAACGUGGAGCUAGCCACUCCCAUCAGCGAUCUUGUCUCAUUAUCUGCUUGCCCAUCACAGCAACUAGAUGACAGCACUUACACACAGCUGUCUGCUGGCUGUCCAGACAAUCAGGUGUUCAGGACGAAUGGUGAUGCCCCGUUCUGCUGAUUGCUGUACUUCGUGUAUUUGACUGACUCAGCUGUGCUCAAUUCUUACUCUUGGUCUUCUAACUCUUGUUCACAUAUUUCAAGAUGGCAUAGCAACAUUCUCAAAUGUUCUGUGUGGAAUUCCAGUGCCUACAGAUGACAGGUUAAGUCUUGUUUGGUUUUAAUGGGUAACUUUAUAUGGCUGUUAGUCUGUCUGUCACCAUGCUGAAAAAUAUUUAAAAUUGCUGUUGUAGAUCUUAAUGAAUUUUGUGUCAUGUAUCAGCCAUUUUUUUAAAAUUAAUUUAGUUCUGUUUGACAGGCAUGUCAAAGUAGAGGUUAUACUGGGCCAUUACAGAGAGAGACAAGUUAUAUUAUAGAUGCCCUGGUACAAAGUUUAAAGUUCAUCGUUUUAUCAGAACCACUGAGUACUUCUGUAAGUAAAUAUGAUAUGCCCAUUAUGCAUUUAUUUCA